CUUGGCUUACCUCUAGACUGGUUGGAUCCAGCCUAUGUGGUGAAUUUUAUUAGUGGAUUGCCCAAUGAUAAAUAAGGUUUCCUUCGUCAGUCCAGGCAGGACUGUGCGUUUGGAAAAGGGACGGAUGCUGGUCCUGGAAGGGGCGUCGUUAUCUAGAAGCUCCCAACCUAAGUGGGUGACUCAUAGGGAGGGCAAGGAGAGAAGGACACAGCAAGCAACUUACAUGUAAAACAAGACGUGUGGGUUAUUAUGGAAGAAAUUCACAACCAAACUUGGGGUUAGCCCGUAUUGUUUUCCAAGAACUCUAUGUGGACAGUGACAAAAAACAGACCUGAGAACUAGCAGAUCGGGCAAAGCUUUUUCACAUAACAACAAAGAAAAAGCAAUUCCUCAGGAAAAAAUGGUCAAUGGGUCAUUGUGUGUAGACAAAACUACAAGUUCUGCUCCAGACUCUGGGGAAACCAUGCUGCCAUCUUCAAGCUGUGGCCAUUCUGUAAUACAGACUACGCUAAAUCACAUGUUGUCAUCAAGGCAGAAUAUUUUGUUCUUUUAUGGGUCAGCCUGGGAUACAAAAUUAGAGAAAUUUGCAAUGAAAAAUCCCUUGUGUCUCAUUGAACUUUUUCCUUAAUUCAAACCUUUCCUUUCACAGUUUUGAUUAGUGCCUUUGCC
rnacentral:lncRNA from 1 species